UCGCCCGCUUCCAGCUGCACGUUGCCGCGGCUCCGGCUCUCACUGUCGCUCAGCAGGUCGUCCUCCGAGUCCUCGAGCAGCGACGAGGAGCCAGUGGAGGAGACCGACGAGGUGGAAAGGCGGCGCGGCUGCUGCAGGAGCUCGGGGCUUGGAGUCCGCUGUGCGGCGUUCAGCAAGUUAUUUCACUUCCCUUGACUGCGGAUUCUCCCGUUGCCGCGAGAGUAAAAUAAAAGAUUUGAAAUCAGGUACACCA